rnacentral:rRNA from 1 species
AGAACGAACGCUGGUAGCGUGGAUUAGGCAUGCAAGUCGACGGGAUCGGCUGGUAGCAAUAAUCGGCCGUGAGAGUGGCGGAUGGGGAGGAACACGUGAGCAACCUGCCCCUGGGACGGGGAAAACCGUUGGAAACGACGGCUAAUACCGGAUGCGGCGCCGCGGGACAUCCCGCGAGCGUCAAAGGGGGCCGCAAGGCUCCCGCCCUGGGAGGGGCUCGCGCACCAUCAGCUUGUGGCGGGUAACGCCCACCAAGGCCUACGGUUAGCUGGUCUGAGAGGAUGACCCAGCCCCACUGGGACUGAGAUACUGCCCAGACUCCUACGGGAGGCUGCAGUCGAGGAUCAUUUGCAAUGGGCGAAAGCCUGACAAUGCGACGCUGCGUGGGAAGGAUGAAGGCCUUCGGGUCGUAAACUCCUGUCAUGAGGGAACAGGCGAGGGUACCCAACACGUACCUUAGUUGAGUGUACUUCAAGAGGAAGGGACGGCUAACUCUGUGCCAGCAGCCGC